AGUGAACGCUGGCGGUAGGCCUAACACAUGCAAGUCGAACGGCAGCACAGUAAGAGCUUGCUCUUACGGGUGGCGAGUGGCGGACGGGUGAGGAAUACAUCGGAAUCUACUUUUUCGUGGGGGAUAACGUAGGGAAACUUACGCUAAUACCGCAUACGACCUACGGGGGAAAGCAGGGGAUCUUCGGACCUUGCGCGAAUGAAUGAGCCGAUGUCGGAUUAGCUAGUUGGCGGGGUAAAGGCCCACCAAGGCGACGAUCCGUAGCUGGUCUGAGAGGAUGAUCGGCCACACUGGAACUGAGACACGGUCCAGACUCCUACGGGAGGCAGCAGUGGGGAAUAUUGGACAAUGGGCGCAAGCCUGAUCCAGCCAUACCGCGUGGGUGAAGAAGGCCUUCGGGUUGUAAAGCCCUUUUGUUGGGAAAGAAAAGCAGCAGGUUAAUACCCCGCUGUUCUGACGGUACCCAAAGAAUAAGCACCGGCUAACUUCGUG
rnacentral:rRNA from 1 species